UCUCGGGUGACGAGCGGCGGACGGGUGAGUAAUGUCUGGGAAACUGCCUGAUGGAGGGGGAUAACUACUGGAAACGGUAGCUAAUACCGCAUAACGUCGCAAGACCAAAGUGGGGGACCUUCGGGCCUCAUGCCAUCAGAUGUGCCCAGAUGGGAUUAGCUAGUAGGUGGGGUAACGGCUCACCUAGGCGACGAUCCCUAGCUGGUCUGAGAGGAUGACCAGCCACACUGGAACUGAGACACGGUCCAGACUCCUACGGGAGGCAGCAGUGGGGAAUAUUGCACAAUGGGCGCAAGCCUGAUGCAGCCAUGCCGCGUGUGUGAAGAAGGCCUUCGGGUUGUAAAGCACUUUCAGCGGGGAGGAAGGCGAUAAGGUUAAUAACCUUGUCGAUUGACGUUACCCGCAGAAGAAGCACCGGCUAACUCCGUGCCAGCAGCCGCGGUAAUACGGAGGGUGCAAGCGUUAAUCGGAAUUACUGGGCGUAAAGCGCACGCAGGCGGUCUGUCAAGUCGGAUGUGAAAUCCCCGGGCUCAACCUGGGAACUGCAUUCGAAACUGGCAGGCUAGAGUCUUGUAGAGGGGGGUAGAAUUCCAGGUGUAGCGGUGAAAUGCGUAGAGAUCUGGAGGAAUACCGGUGGCGAAGGCGGCCCCCUGGACAAAGACUGACGCUCAGGUGCGAAAGCGUGGGGAGCAAACAGGAUUAGAUACCCUGGUAGUCCACGCCGUAAACGAUGUCGAUUUGGAGGUUGUGCCCUUGAGGCGUGGCUUCCGGAGCUAACGCGUUAAAUCGACCGCCUGGGGAGUACGGCCGCAAGGUUAAAACUCAAAUGAAUUGACGGGGGCCCGCACAAGCGGUGGAGCAUGUGGUUUAAUUCGAUGCAACGCGAAGAACCUUACCUGGUCUUGACAUCCACAGAACUUACCAGAGAUGGAUUGGUGCCU
rnacentral:rRNA from 1 species